rnacentral:rRNA from 1 species
UACAGAGGUGGCAAGCGUUGUUCGGAAUUACUGGGCGUAAAGGGCGCGUAGGCGGCCCGUCAAGUCCCGUGUGAAAGCCCCCGGCUCAACCGGGGAACGGCGCGGGAAACUAGCAGGCUUGAGUUCGGGAGAGGGAAGCGGAAUUCCGGGUGUAGCGGUGAAAUGCGCAGAUAUCCGGAGGAACACCGGUGGCGAAGGCGGCUUCCUGGACCGACACUGACGCUGAGGCGCGAAAGCCAGGGGAGCGAACGGG